UCAGUCGUGCUUUUUCACGGAUACGGACGCUUGUUGAUACUGUGGCACGAAACGAAAGCUGAACGGAUAAUUGUGAUAGCUGGCGCAGAUCUACCUCAGGCCAGUAGUAGUUUAUUACUUGUUUCUGUGUAGAUGUACAGAGUCUAAUGUCUCGAAUCUCAUGACCUAGUAUUGUAGUGUGCGUUAUAGCAGGCCAGCAAUGGACACUCUUCGAGAUGGCAGCCCAGGCAUUUAGAUUACACUAAUCAGACUUCAAAGCAGCUAUUUAAAAUACCCUGGUGCCUAUUCAGUUUUGUGGGCUAAACACUGUUGACUGUCUUCAUUUCAUUGAAUAAUUCCUUGAACGCUUACUCGUUCUGGGACCGAGAACAAGGACGAAAAGUAACGUUACUAUUAGUUUACUUCUCUACCGAAACUGCAGCUUCAGGUGGUCGCUUACAAGCUUCGGCAAUAAUAAGACUAUGGCCGAAGAAAAUAUCCAGUUUUGCAGUAAUUGCAAGCAUGACAUUCCAGAAGCCAACUUUACAACACAUGAGAUCCACUGUCGAAGGAAUAUUGCUCUUUGUGAGGUGUGCCAGGAGCCUUUUCCUCAUGCUGAGCUUGUGCAGCACAAAGAGAUGGACCAUGCAGAGGUAUGAUC